GAUGAACGCUGACAGAAUGCUUAACACAUGCAAGUCAACUUGAACUUCGGUUUGGGUGGCGGACGGGUGAGUAACGCGUAAAGAACUUGCCUCACAGCUAGGGACAACAUUUGGAAACGAAUGCUAAUACCUGAUAUUAUGAUUAUAUGGCAUCGUAUAAUUAUGAAAGCUAUAUGCGCUGUGAGAGAGCUUUGCGUCCCAUUAGCUAGUUGGAGAGGUAACAGCUCACCAAGGCGAUGAUGGGUAGCCGGCCUGAGAGGGUGAUCGGCCACAAGGGGACUGAGACACGGCCCGUACUCCUACGGGAGGCAGCAGUGGGGAAUAUUGGACAAUGGACCGAGAGUCUGAUCCAGCAAUUCUGUGUGCACGAUGAAGUUUUUCGGAAUGUAAAGUGCUUUCAGUUGGGAAGAAAAAAAUGACGGUACCAACAGAAGAAGUGACGGCUAAAUACGUG
rnacentral:rRNA from 1 species